UACCAGCACCCCGAGUGGUCGGGACGUUUAUUGGGCCUAAAGCAUCCGUAGCCGGUCCUACAAGUCUUCCGUUAAAUCCACCUGCUCAACAGAUGGGCUGCGGAAGAUACUAUGGAGCUAGGAGGCGGGAGAGGCAAGCGGUACUCGAUGGGUAGGGGUAAAAUCCGUUGAUCCAUUGAAGACCACCAGUGGCGAAGGCGGCUUGCCAGAACGCGCUCGACGGUGAGGGAUGAAAGCUGGGGGAGCAAACCGG
rnacentral:rRNA from 1 species